CCGAAAGGCAGGAGUGCCCGCAAGGGAGCGCGGAGACAGGUGGUGCAUGGCUGUCGUCGGCUCGUGUCGUGAGAUGUUGAGUUAAGUCCCGCAACGAGCGCAACCCUCACCCCUUGUUGCUACCAGGUAAAGCUGGGCACUCUAGGGGAACUGCCCCGGUCAACGGGGAGGAAGGCGGGGAUGACGUCAAGUCAUCAUGCCCCUUACGUCCUGGGCUACACACGUGCUACAAUGGCCGGUACAAAGGGAUGCCACACCGUGAGGUAGAGCUAAACCCAAAAAGCCGGUCUAAGUUCAGAUUGGAGUCUGCAACUCGACUCCAUGAAGGAGGGAUCGCUAGUAAUCGCGUAUCAGCACGACGCGGUGAAUACGUUCCCGGGCCUUGUACACACCGCCCGUCACACCACGAAAGCCAG
rnacentral:rRNA from 1 species